AUCUGGACCAGGAAACCCACCACCCAGAUCAACUUCAGAUAGACCUGUACUGCUCUGGAGCUCCCUCUGCUGGGCUCAGCCAUGCACACACGAGCAGUCAAGAUCAAUUUAAGAUCAUCAAGAAACCAUGGAUCAAACAAAGAGCAUACAACUGAAGAUCCCUCUGAAUUAUGUCUCAAGUAAAUGGAAUCAGUUUGAAAUCAUUCAUUGUUACUUAACAUGAAAAACAUAAAAUAUAAAACAUCAUGUA